rnacentral:rRNA from 1 species
CCCUUAGAUGUCCGGGGCUGCACGCGCGCUACACUGUAGAAAGCAGCGUGCUUUAAAACCUUUCCUGAAAAGGAUGGGUAACCCCAGCAAAAUUCUACGUGCUUGGGAUAGAGAUUUGCAAUUUUCUCUCUUGAACGAGGAAUUCCCAGUAAGUGCGAGUCAUCAGCUCGCGUUGAUUACGUCCCUGCCCUUUGUACACACCGCCCGUCGCUACUACCGAUUGGGAAAAUUUUAGAGAGUCCUGGACUGAUGAUUGUUCGGCUUCACGGCCUUACUUUCGUCAGGAAAGAAUUCGAUAAUAUUUUUCUAGAGGAAGUAAAAGUCGUAACA